rnacentral:rRNA from 1 species
AUGUGGUGUCCCACAUCAACACUUUAUUAUUUGGUGUGCCAUAUCAACGCCUUUUUCCUGGCGCACCUGCUGGAUAGGUGCCAGUGUGCCACCCUUACACCCCAUACCACCCUUCUUCCCCAAACUAACAUCUGUCGUUCUCUAUCCACCAUGGACAUUGACCAGAUAGAUUUUUCAUCUCGCUUAGAUAACAAUAUUUUGAGUGAGAUUUUCAUCAGGCUAGGAUGCACUAGAUCCCUUGUUCGUAGUUCUGUAGUGAGUCCUAGAUGGUUUGAGAUCUGUACCUCCCAGCAGUUCAUCAUGGAGUAUGCUCGUCGCAAUGCUCCAGCCGUCCUCGGAUUCAUUGCUGCAUUCGAGCGCCUCUUCGAGCUGCACGUGCGUCUUGUGGAUGUCGUUGCUUCCCCUCCUGAUCCAGGACAAGCUGCUCUGCUUGCUAGGGUCGACGUGGCAACCUUUGCCAUGGAGAACAUCCUUGCAUCUGAAGCAGGUGAGUUGCUCGUCUUGGUCAGAGGUCUCGACAGCGGGUUCUUUUCUGUCUGUCCAAAUCCUCCAUUUUCUCGGUCAUUCUUAGCCCCUAGAAUGCCUAGAGUCCCCCUGUUCCAACAUCAGCACACCCCUAAUUUAUAUGGUCAAUUUGGUGUCAUUCUCAUUGACAGCAGGCCUAAUUUUUCGUUCUUUGUUAAGCAAGCAGCAGGCCCUUUCGUCCGUUCUUAUUCUAGUUUGAGUUUCAGUUCAGUUGCUGACCUAUAUGUCCACGUUUGCAUCCUAAAAAACAACGAAUGGUCACGCUUUGUUUCCCCACCGCUUAGAACUCCUCCUGGUAAUGAUGGACCAUUGUUCCAUUGGGAUCCAUACUGUCUCCUAGUUGGUUCCAAUCUAUACAUGAUGUAUGUGGUAGGAUUUGUGGUUUGCUUCAACAUAGAUACUUUUGUCUUCUCCACUGUCCAGUUCCCUGUAAGUGUCACUUCCUGCUUUGAUUACCACAUCUCUAGGAGCAGUUCAGGUAUCAUAUCAUUUGUUCACAGUGACAAUCUAUCACUUCGCACAUGGAGAUUAUCAUCACGAGAGCAUGAAGAAACAGCAUGGUUUCCUAUGUCAUAG